AAUUGUAUGCUUCCAAGUCAUAACAAGCUUUCUCGAUUGGAGAUUUGCGCCAGGAUCAAAUAAAAUAUCUUUUCUCCAUUUAGAAACUGAGGAAACAGGGGACGAUGACCUCUAGGGAGGGAGUAAAGUAUCCAGCAUGCCACCCGCCUGCCCUGUAACUCCUCCAUCGCCUUACCACUUCCGCCGAAGCAAACAAGAACGGGAGGAGGACCACCGCCUCAAUCCAAUCCGAGGGGAACAGCGAAGUGCCCUGUUCAUAGAUUUGCUGUCUGGUCGAGUGCAAUUUCAGAGGAUGGCAGAGGCUGCAAUCACAAGGUACUGGUGCCAUGAAUGUGAGCAGGCCAUUGAGGAGGCAAUGGCGGAGGAGAUCAAGUGCCCAUUCUGUGACAGUGGAUUCAUUGAAGAGAUGAUCGGUGAAGAAUUUGAGGGGCUGACCAGCCAGCAUUCAGAGCAGAGUUCCUCACAAUGGGGAACGUUGGACAACCCAUUUGAGGAGCCAGGAGCAGCGAGGGACAACGAUGAAGAAGAAGAAGAAGAUGAUGAUGAUAUGGGCCGUGAGUUUGAGGGUUUCAUCAGGAGGCAUCGACGGGCAUCAGCUCUUCGUCGGGUGCUUGGCAGCAUCCAAGACGACCUUAGAGCUGACAGGGAAAGGGACAACUCCAUUCUGAUCAAUGCCUUCAAUCAGGCCCUCGCUCUGCAAGGCUCAGUGCUUGAUACUGACGAGGACCGAGGUGAUCAAGGCGGUUCUGGCAAUGAUGGCUUGCUGGAGGAGUAUGUCCUGGGGGCUGGGCUGAGCUUACUGCUUCAACAUUUGGCUGAGAACGACCCAAACCGGUAUGGCACCCUUCCAGCUAAGAAAGAGGUAGUUGAAGCACUGCCCUUGGUCAAAAUUGAAGAUGUUGUCAGCUGUUCAGUUUGCCUUGAUGAUCUUGAGCUAGGAUCCCAGGCAAAGCAGAUGCCUUGUGAACAUAAGUUCCACUCUCCUUGUAUCCUGCCAUGGCUUGAACUCCAUAGUUCCUGUCCUGUUUGCCGUUUUGAGCUACCGACUGAAGAGACGAAAUAUUUGAAUGAGCAUAGCAAUAUCAACAGAACAGAUAGUGUCCACGAGGAGGUCAGAGCCGACGGCCCUGGGAAUGGCGGUGAAAGCAAUAACAGAACAUGGGCCCUUGUUCCGUGGUUUAAUGGGCUAUUCUCAACGCCUGAUACACAAACUGCCAGAGGCGCUUUCACCGAUCAACAACCACCUUCUCCUUCUGGAACCAACCUGAAUGCAGGGGAAAGUUGAUCAUCCACCUUUGUGAAUAAUGCUCAUACAUCUGAGAAUAGCGAUGGAACAUGGCAGUAGCACACUUUUUUUUUUUUGCUUAAUCCCUCUUGGAUGAAUUGCAAGGUUUGAGGCACGUCCUUGAGCGGAAUAGCAAUCGUUUGGUUUCCGUCUCAUGAGAUGCUCCAUUCAGCGAUGGCAGUGAAUGAUUACUAGCCUGUUGUGUCGUCCCGUGUCCACGGUUUUGACGGACCGCAUUCCAGACAAGAAAAUGAUACGAUACCCAAGUUGAAUGGAUCUAAAUCAGUUCAUCUUUGCUAACCAAGCAACAAUCCUAAGCUGAAUUCAGGACCUUGUAUGGUCCGUGGGUGUGAUUAAAAGAGUGUUUAGUGGCCGCAGGAUAGGAUCUAUACUUAGACCUUUGCAUCGCUCAUCCUGUUAUUAUUCGCAAGGAAUGUGCUGGUGCCUAGCAAUGAGCAUAGACGCAUAACCUGUUUCUCGGCGACGAUCAACCUCAGAUUCUCAGCUGUAUCAGGGUUCGAUGAGCUGGUUACCGAAUACAAGAAACUUGGUUUUCUC